AUUGAACGCUGGCGGCAGGCUUAACACAUGCAAGUCGAGCGGGGAAGGGUAGCUUGCUACCUGACCUAGCGGCGGACGGGUGAGUAAUGCUUGGGAAUCUGCCUAUUAGUGGGGGACAACAUUCCGAAAGGAAUGCUAAUACCGCAUACGCCCUACGAGGGAAAGCAGGGGAUCUUCGGACCUUGCGCUAAUAGAUGAGCCUAAGUCAGAUUAGCUAGUUGGUGGGGUAAAGGCCUACCAAGGCGACGAUCUGUAGCGGGUCUGAGAGGAUGAUCCGCCACACUGGGACUGAGACACGGCCCAGACUCCUAUGGGAGGCAGCAGUGGGGAAUAUUGGACAAUGGGCGAAAGCCUGAUCCAGCCAUGCCGCGUGUGUGAAGAAGGCCUUUUGGUUGUAAAGCACUUUAAGCGAGGAGGAGGCUACUUGGAUUAAUACUCUAGGAUAGUGGACGUUACUCGCAGAAUAAGCACCGGCUAACUCUGUGCCAGCCGCCGCAGUAACAC
rnacentral:rRNA from 1 species